AGUCAUAUGCUUGUCUCAAAGACUAAGCCAUGCACGUCUAAGUACAAACUAAAUGAUGGUGAAACUGCAAAUGGCUCAUUACAACGGUUAUGAUGUACCCGGGAGUUCCGAUGGAUAUUUCCAGUAACACUAGAACUAAUACAUGUCCCUGCGUUUAUUAGUUUCGCACAGUCCGUCGCUGAGUCAUGGUAAACAGUUGAUCGACUCGACGUCCCGGAACAGUUUCCGCCCCAUCAGCUUCGAUGGUUGGGUAUUGGCCUACCAUUGCAACAACGGGUAACGAGGAAUUAGGGUUUGAUUUCGGAGAGGGAGCCUGAGAAACGGCUACCACAUCUACGGAUGGCAGCAGGCGCGCAAAUUACCCAAUGCAGACACUGUGAGGUAGUGACGAGAAAUAAUAAAGCGGGACUUCUGUUUCGCUAUUAUAAUGAGGAAUAACCAAAGGUCAUUCCGAUUAGCAAC
rnacentral:rRNA from 1 species